GAUGAAGAACGUAGCGAAAUGCGAUACUUGGUGUGAAUUGCAGAAUCCCGUGAACCAUCGAGUCUUUGAACGCAAGUUGCGCCCGAAGCCAUCAGGUUGAGGGCACGUCUGCCUGGGCGUCACAUAUCGUUGCCCAAUGCCUAUUGCAGUGCAAUAGGAAUUUCUAGGGCGAAUGAUGGCUUCCCGUGAGCGUUGUUGCCUCGCGGUUGGUUGAAAAUCGAGUCCUUCGUAGGGUGUGCCAUGGUAGAUGGUGGUCGAGUUAGAACGAUACCGAUCAUGUGCAUGCUCCCCAAAAUAUGGCCUCUAUGACCCACACGCGUCUUUUGACGCUCAUGACGAGACCUCAGGUCAGGCGGGGCUACCCGCUGAAUUUAAGCAUAUCAAUAAGCGGAGGA
rnacentral:misc_RNA from 1 species